rnacentral:rRNA from 1 species
GAUGAACGCUGGCGGCGUGCCUAAUACAUGCAAGUCGAGCGAACAGAUGAGGAGCUUGCUCCUCUGACGUUAGCGGCGGACGGGUGAGUAACACGUGGAUAACCUACCUAUAAGACUGGGAUAACUUCGGGAAACCGGAGCUAAUACCGGAUAAUAUAUUGAACCGCAUGGUUCAAUAGUGAAAGACGGUUUUGCUGUCACUUAUAGAUGGAUCCACGCCGCAUUAGCUAGUUGGUAAGGUAACGGCUUACCAAGGCAGCGAUGCGUAGCCGACCUGAGAGGGUGAUCAGCCACACUGGAACUGAGACACGGUCCAGACUCCUACGGGAGGCAGCAGUAGGGAAUCUUCCGCAAAGGGCGAAAGCCUGACGGAGCAACGCCGCGUGAGUGAUGAAGGUCUUCGGAUCGUAAAACUCUGUUAUUAGGGAAGAACAAAUGUGUAAGUAACUAUGCACGUCUUGACGGUACCUAAUCAGAAAGCCACGGCUAACUACGUG